UAUAUAUAUAUAUAGACUUAGACUUAGACUUGUACAAAUCUAUCAACACUGCCAAGUAGAGACAUACAGUCAAGGAGCACAACACCUUGAGGAGAAGAUCGGCGCCACCCUAAUAGAUAUACAAACCCAAAAGUGAAAAUCAAACCGCUCAUCAAAGAUCUAGUCUAGUUGGCGCUGCCAAGAAAAAAUCAAACUGAGUUCCUAAUUGGAGAAAGGCUGUGAAGGAGAAGCUCGAUUGGGAGGGAAGCUCCAGAGAGAUGGCCUCAGUGCACUUGGCAAUCUUGCAAUUGACCUUGCUGUGGGUAGUAGAAGCAUCAAUUGUCAACACCAACGCCUUGCCUUUAGCCAAGGACGGCUGUGAAGCACAUUGUGGCAAUGUCAGUAUUCCAUACCCAUUUGGCACAAGGGAAGGAUGCUACGUUAAUGAUAACUUUCUCAUCACUUGUAAUCACACAUACAAUCCUCCCUUGGCGUUUUGGGCAGAUGGUAAUAUAAAUGUUACAAAUAUACGGCUUUCGGGUGAAAUGCGCAUAUAUGCCUUUGUAGCCUAUGAUUGCUACAACGGAACUGGUAGGAGUGGACGCAAAAAUCAUCCUUGGCUCGAAUCGGUCAAUCACUUCCCAAUCUCCAACACUCGAAACAAGUUCAUGGCUAUUGGUUGUGACACAUAUGCUAUGAUAAAGGGUUCUAGUGGGACAAACUACGCAACUGGGUGCAUGUCUUUGUGUGAUAGCACGAGAGAUGUGGUUGAGGGGUCUUGCUCUGGUAUUGGCUGUUGCGAAACUGCUAUUCCAAGAGGAGUAACGGAUUUCAAUAUCGAGGUAUCGAGCUAUUACAACCACACGAGAGUGUGGGAAUUCAACCCUUGCAGCUAUGCUUUUGUGGCAGAGGAAGGUACUUACAACUUUUCUAAACAAGAUCUUCUGAAUCUUAAAGAUCAAGAUAAUAUGAUCCCAAUGGUGCUAAAUUGGGCAAUAGGGGAUCAAAAUUGCGGUGAAGCUAAAAAGGAUCUUGAAAGUUAUGCAUGCAUGGCUAACAGUGAGUGUCAUGACUCGAGCAAUGGUCCAGGCUACCAGUGCAGUUGUUCCAAGGGAUACCAAGGCAAUCCUUACCUUAAGGAUGGCUGCCAAGAUAUUGAUGAGUGCUUAAAUUCCACCAUAUGCGUCCAAAACUGCACCAAUUUGCCUGGUACUUAUAAUUGUUCCUGUCAGCUACCAGGAUAUGAUGGCGAUGGUAAAUGGGAUGGAACAGGUUGCAAACUCAUACCAAGCCCUGAGAGGUUUCCAUUGAUUGAUAGGAUUUCACUAGGUGUCAGUGUCAACCUCUUGGUUCUAGUUUUGGGCAUUUCUUGGUUAUACUGGGGACUCAAGCGUAGAAAGCUUAUCAAGCUCAAAGAGAAGUUUUUUAAACAAAAUGGUGGCUUCCUACUACAACAACAACUUUCUAAGCACAAUGGAUCUAUUGAAACAACUCAAAUAUUUACAGCAGAAGAACUUGAGAAGGCAACAAACAAUUACCAUGAAAAUAGAAUCCUAGGCCAAGGUGGCCAAGGAACGGUUUACAAAGGAAUAUUACCAGAUAACAAAAUAGUUGCCAUUAAGAAGUCCAAAAUAAUAGCUCAAAGCCAAGUUGAACAAUUUAUUAAUGAAGUGUCUAUUCUCUCCCAAAUCAACCAUAGAAAUGUGGUAAAGUUAUUGGGAUGUUGUUUGGAGACUGAAGUUCCUCUGUUGGUGUAUGAAUUUGUUACCAAUGGUACCCUUUUCAAUCACAUUCACAAAACAGACCAUUCUUCAACGUUGCAAUGGCAAUUACGUUUACAGAUAGCAGUUGAAACUGCAGGAGCACUUUCUUAUUUGCAUUCUGCUGCAACCACUCCCAUCAUUCAUAGAGAUAUCAAGAGCACUAAUGUACUCUUAGAUGAUAAUUACAAAGCUAAGGUAUCUGAUUUUGGAGCUUCGAGGCUAGUUCCUCUUGAUCAUACUCAGUUAACCACACUAGUGCAAGGGACACUUGGAUACUUGGAUCCAGAAUACUUUCAUUCAAGCCAAUUGACUGAAAAAAGCGACGUCUAUAGCUUUGGAGUUCUCCUUGCAGAGUUGCUAACUGGAAUGAAGGCACUUUCUUUUGAGAGACCUGAAGAAGAAAGAAACUUAGCCAUGCAUUUUGUCUCAUCAAUGAAUGAAAGCCGAUUGUUUGAAAUUCUAGAUCAACAAAUGCUGAAUGAGGGAAAUGUUGAGCAACUUAAUGAAGUUGCGAUGUUGGCUAAGAGAUGCUUAAAAGUGAAGGGAGCGGAGAGGCCUACUAUGAAAGAAGUUGCAAAGGAGUUAGAGGGCUUGAAAGCAAUGACAAAGCAUCCAUGGGUUAAAGGCGAUAUGAGUUCAGAAGAGACUGAGUACUUGCUCCAAAAACCAUAUGAUGAUUGUGUUGGUGGUGUCAGUGGCAAUUCUGCAUGUUAUGACAGCAUAAGGAAACAAGUCAGCAUAUCAAUACUUGAUGAUGGCAGAUAAUUAUCUAGUGUGUUAAAGGAUGAUAUAAUGCUAGACUUUAUCAUUAUACUUUUUAUUCAUAUUUUUUUUUUUUAUCAUUUUAAAAAUGUAUUUUUGUUAUUAGUUUGGGACUAGGUAAGGUAAAGUGGUAAACAGACAAGAUGGGAUAGAUUUGUAGAUUAGUUUUUAAAUAAAUUUUAUCUACUUGUAACUGAUAAAUAUUAGAUAUCUGUUGAAUUUAAAUGUUAUGUUUA